rnacentral:rRNA from 1 species
GGAGUUUGGACCGUGUCUCAGUUCCAAUGUGGCCGAUUACCCUCUCAGGUCGGCUACUGAUCGUCGACUUGGUAGGCCGUUACCCUACCAACUAUCUAAUCAGACGCAGGUGCAUCCCAUGCCGAUAAAUCUUUGGCGAGUCUGCCAUGUGACAAACCCGCAUUAUGCGGUAUUAAUCCAGGUUUCCCUAGGCUAUCCCUCUGCAUGGGGCAGCUUACCUACGCGUUACUCACCCGUCCGCCGCUAUCCAUCGCUUAUUUCUGCCGAAGCUUAUUUCCGCAAUUUCCCGCUCGACUUGCAUGUGUUAGGCACGCCGCCAGCGUUCAUCCUCGAGCCAUGAUCAAACUCU